GACGAACGCUGGCGGCGUGCCUAAUACAUGCAAGUCGAGCGGACGAAUCGAAAGCUUGCUUUUGAUUCGUUAGCGGCGGACGGGUGAGUAACACGUGGAUAACCUGCCCUGUAGACGGGGAUAACACCGAGAAAUCGGUGCUAAUACCGGAUAAUACGUAAUGCCGCAUGACGCAUCGUUGAAAGACGGCUCUGGCUGUAGCUACAGGUGGGUCCGCGGCGCAUUAGGUAGUUGGUAAGGUAACGGCUUACCAAGGCGACGAUGCGUAGCCGACCUGAGAGGGUGAUCGGCCACACUGGAACUGAGACACGGCCCAGACUCCUACGGGAGGCAGCAGUAGGGAAUCUUCCGCAAUGGACGAAAGUCUGACGGAGCAACGCCGCGUGAGCGAAGAAGGCCUUCGGGUCGUAAAGCUCUGUUGUUAGGGAAGAACAAGUAACGCAGUAACUGGCGUUACCUUGACGGUACCUAACGAGAAAGCCACGGCUAACUACGUG
rnacentral:rRNA from 1 species